CAUUGGAGAAGAAAAACCGUUGCAUGUUUCUUGCUGGAACAUCUUAAGAUAACAGCGCCAGUCAUCAUUACGUUAAAUAUUUCGAAUAAAAUGUCUUGUGUAGGUUAUAUCUAAUGCAAUUAAAAAUACAAAUGCAUUGUUUUGCCUUUGUUUGAAUGUCCGUUGCGCUUUAAACCCUGAGAGCUGUUAUAAUGAGUUCAGCAGGAGACAGACAGUGCUCCUCCAGGACCUCUCAGGCUCCUGAUCCCUCACAGCUGUAUGAAGACGUGAAAAUCGAGAUUUCAGAUGGAGGGACAUCUGAAGUGUAAGGAGUCUGUGUGAAGAAAGAAGAGACACUGGAGUUGAACAUCUACAACCAUGGAAACAACUUUGAGAACGCACCUGAAGUUCUCUCAAUUAAAGAGGAAGAUCCUGACAAUAAAGACUACCUCUGUACGAGAUCAGGAGCUCAAUAACACUCUCACUGAUUAUUCUACCUGACACAGUAUCUAGUGCACUGAAAGUACAAUAGUGGGUUAUUUUGAGAUGGAGCCUCUGUUUCAGAUAAUUUAAUCACCAAAUCACGACUAAAUUAACUUGCGUGGUUUUUAUAUUUAUAGAGACUUUAAUAUCAUAGCUAGGAGUGAGGAUAACUAAAUGUUUUUUCUUUAAGUAUAUACAUUUUAAAUAGCUGCCCCAACAUUCGCUUCAGAAUAACACUUGUUUCAAGCUCCAUUGAUGCGAUUCUUUACAUGUUCACUCCUCUCAAAGAGGACUGACUCUGGAAUGACAUGCUCAACAAGCAUUUAUGGGUGUGAUGUUCAGGUGUCCAAAUAUGUGUAUACAGGUUUAGGGGAAUACUGGUGGUGCAUUUUCAUAGCCUCAUAGCUCUAGGGAUGUGGAUUUGAUCCUGAGCUCAGAUUAUUGUCUCUGUUGAGAUUUGCAUGUUCUCCCCGUGUCUGUGUAGAUUUUCUCUGGGUCCACUGGUUUCCUUCAGAUAUGGGCAAAUAGGCUAUGCUUGAAUUGCCACUAGGUGUGAAUGAGUUUGUUCAUGUGUGGGUCCAUGAUGCCUGACAGUGGACUGGCAUGAGUGUAUUCUGGUUUACUGGAAAAAUGUGUAGCUCUAGAAAUGGCAGAAGUGUCAGCAUGCUCAAAUACGGAAAUGAGUGGUGUGGUGAAUUUUUUUUUUUUCCUCUCUCCCCAAAUUCUUAUUAUUUUUGUUUGUACCUGCCUGCGAUUUCCAAACAUAGUAGUUGGCCACUUGGUUCUCUUUCCCAAAAUACAGAACAAACACGUCGCCUAAUUUAAAUCAACUGUGACCAUGACCAAGCAUUUACUAAGGAUGCUGUAAAAACAGUGUCUUGCAAAAGUAUUCAUCCCCCUUUGUGUUUUUACUGUUUUGUUGUGUUCCAAGCUGGAAUUAAAAUGUACUUAUGGGGUGUUGGCACCAUUUGAUUUACACAAUAUGCCUCCCACUUUAAAGGUGCAAAUUAUUUUUUUUAUUUAUUUGUUUGCUUGUAUAAAAUUUGUGACACAAACAAUUCCAGUGAAAAAAAAAGAAAUCUGGACUGUGUAUAGGUAUUCAACCCCAAAGUCAAUACUUUGUAGAGCCAUAUUUUGCUGCAAUUACAGCAGCAAGUUUCUUGAGGUACAGUGGUGCUUGAAAGUUUGU